GACGAACCGUGCGAACGUUAUUCGGAAUCAUUGGGCUUAAAGGGCGCGUAGGCGGCGGCGUAAGUUGGAAGUGAAAUCCCAUCGGCUCAACCGUGGAAUUGCUCCCAGUACUGCGUCGCUCGAGGGGGAUAGGGGUCUGCGGAACUACCGGUGGAGCGGUGAAAUGUGUUGAUAUCGGUGGGAACGCCAGUGGCGAAAGCGGCAGACUGGACCCUUCCUGACGCUGAGUGCGCGAAAGCUAGGGAGCAAACGGG
rnacentral:rRNA from 1 species